rnacentral:rRNA from 1 species
UACGGAGGGGGCGAGCGUUGUUCGGAGUGACUGGGCGUAAAGAGCACGUAGGCGGUGUUGUAAGUCAUUAGUCAAAGACUAGAGCUCAACUUUAGUAAGGCUAGUGAUACUAUAAUACUAGAGUAUCAGAGAGGAUUGCAGAAUUCCUGGUGUAGCGGUGAAAUGCGUAGAUAUAUGGAAGAACACCAGUGGCGAAAGCGGCUCUCUGGUCUGUAACUGACGCUGAGGUUCGAAAGCGUGGGUAGCAAACAGG